UACAGAGGUCUCAAGCGUUGUUCGGAUUCAUUGGGCGUAAAGGGUGCGUAGGUGGCGCCGUAAGUCAGGUGUGAAAUUUCGGAGCUUAACUCCGAAACUGCAUUUGAUACUGCGGUGCUUGAGGACUGGAGAGGAGACUGGAAUUUACGGUGUAGCAGUGAAAUGCGUAGAGAUCGUAAGGAAGACCAGUGGCGAAGGCGGGUCUCUGGACAGUUCCUGACGCUGAGGCACGAAGGUCAGGGGAGCAAACGGG
rnacentral:rRNA from 1 species